rnacentral:lncRNA from 1 species
AAACUGGGCCCAUACACGGGGCGGGGGGGCAAGGGAGAGGGAAGAAAAAGGCAGACCACUCCACAUUGGUAGGUGGCAGGUUUAAUAAGCAAGAGAACUUAGUUACGAGGCACGUGCUUGUCUUCGGCAGCUGCAAGAAGAGCAGAUCUUCUCACCUGCCCACCAGAAAGACCAAAAUACCCAUCUGGAGAAGGAUGGCCUCUUCUUCAAGUGAUCACCACCACACUACAGUAGGUGCAGUCAGAUACGAUUCCUCCAUCUAUCAAACAAGGUCAAGUCUAACAAUCAAAGAGUAUUAGCAUAAAGACCCUCACAUCCGUAAUCUACAAUACUGCUGUAUUGGUUCCCUGGAGAUGCCAAAACAAAGUACCACAAAUUCGGAGGCUUAAGCAACAGAAAUUUAUUGUCUCAUAGUCCUGGAGGCUGGAAGUGCAAAGUCAAGGAUUAUGGCAAGGCAGCUUGAGAGUAACUGAUGAGUUUCUGUUACCAUCUGCCAAGAGCAGAGGAGCAUUCCUCUAUGGCUUUCUUCUUAAUGGGAAAAUGAGCACGUUUACGUACAUCUUUGUCUAAUUUGGGG